CUCGCGUUAAGGAUAACAGCGGAAAUCCUGACAUUGCUCAGAUAAAAUAUCUUUAAAGAUUCGCAUCAAAAGCAAUGGCAGAUUGUAGCGGAUAGCCUGGCCCGCA
rnacentral:sRNA from 1 species